rnacentral:rRNA from 1 species
UUGAAAGGGAAACGAUUGAAGUCAGUCGUGCUGGCGCGAAAUCAACCUUCUCGUCUUGAGAUCCAUGGCGUGGCGAGCCUCAAAACCGUCACGAAGCGUGAACUCUUGGUGAAAUGGAGCACUUUCGUGUCCGCUGGUUAACAUCAAUUUCGAACGUCAUAAAAAGGCUGGAGGGAUGUGGCUCCUUCGGGAGUGUUAUAACCUUUAGCGGAAUGUGGUGUUCGGGAUUGAGGAUUGCAACGAAUACCUUUAGGGCUGUUCCACCUGGCUUCUCUUUGGUAUCCUGGUGACGACAGCUUGCUGACGUCGUUAGGAUUCGCCUUUGAACAGGCUAGAGUGUGAGCAAAUUCGUUAAGGAUGUUGACGUA